rnacentral:rRNA from 1 species
AAUGGGCGCAAGCCUGAUCCAGCAAUACCGCGUGUGUGAAGAAGGCCUGCGGGUUGUAAAGCACUUUCAGUUGGGAAGAUAAUGACGUUACCAACAGAAGAAGCACCGGCUAACUCCGUGCCAGCAGCCGCGGUAAUACGGAGGGUGCAAGCGUUAAUCGGAAUUACUGGGCGUAAAGCGCACGUAGGCGGUUUUCUAAGUCAGAUGUGAAAUCCCCGGGCUUAACCUGGGAACUGCACCUGAUACUGGAAGACUAGAAUGUGGGAGAGGAGAGUGGAAUUUCCGGUGUAGCGGUGAAAUGCAUAGAGAUCGGAAGGAACACCAGUGGCGAAGGCGGCUCUCUGGACCAACAUUGACGCUGAGGUGCGAAAGCGUGGGUAGCAAA